UUGAGUUUGAUCCUGGCUCAGGACGAACGCUGGCGGCGUGCCUAACACAUGCAAGUCGAGCGGGGUUGACUUCAGCACUGAGUAUCCUCGAGGGAGAAGGGAAGGUAGAAGCGGCAUGCAGAAACAACCUUAAUAUAAAAAAUAAGAUAAAGUUUCUGCAUUACGCGUAAUUAGUGAAUAACACAAAAAACAAGAAGAGAAGAGGAUAUUGAGUGCUGAAGGCAACCUAGCGGCGGACGGGUGAGUAACGCGUGAGCAACCUGCCUUGUACAGGGGGAUAACAGCUGGAAACGGCUGCUAAUACCGCAUAAGACCACAGUAUCGCAUGAUACAGGGGUAAAAGGCGAAAGCCGGUACAAGAGGGGCUCGCGUCCCAUUAGCUAGUUGGUGAGGUAGAGGCUCACCAAGGCGACGAUGGGUAGCCGGCCUGAGAGGGUGGACGGCCACACUGGGACUGAGACACGGCCCAGACUCCUACGGGAGGCAGCAGUGGGGGAUAUUGCGCAAUGGGGGGAACCCUGACGCAGCGACGCCGCGUGAGCGAAGAAGGUCUUCGGAUCGUAAAGCUCUGUCAAUGGGGACGAAGGGAAUGACGGUACCCAUAGAGGAAGCCCCGGCUAACUACGUGCCAGCAGCCGCGGUAAGACGUAGGGGGCGAGCGUUGUCCGGAAUUACUAGGCGUAAAGGGUGCGUAGGCGGUCUGAUAAGUCAGAUGUGAAGACCCGGGCUCAACCAGGGGGUUGCAUUUGAAACUGUCAGACUAGAGUGCAGGAGAGGGAAGCGGAAUUCCUAGUGUAGCGGUGAAAUGCGUAGAGAUUAGGAGGAACACCAGUGGCGAAGGCGGCUUUCUGGACUGUAACUGACGCUGAGGCACGAAAGCGUGGGGAGCGAACAGGAUUGGAUACCCUGGUAGUCCACGCCGUAACGAUGGAUACUAGUGUAGGGGGCGAUAGCCUUCUGUGCCGGAGUUACGCAUAGCAUCCCGCUGGGGAGUACGGCCGCAGGUUGAAACUCAAAGGAAUUGACGGGGGCCCGCACAAGCAGCGGAGCAUGUGGUUUAAUUCGAAGCAACGCGAAGAACCUUACCAGGGCUUGACAUCCCACUGACGGGUGUAGAGAUACACCUUUCCUUUCGGGGACAGUGGAGACAGGUGGUGCAUGGUUGUCGUCAGCUCGCGUCGUGAGAUGUUGGGUUAAGUCCCGCAACGAGCGCAACCCCUAUCAUUAGUUGCCAGCACGUAAUGGUGGGGACUCUAAUGAGACUGCCGAGGAGAACUCGGAGGAAGGUGGGGAUGACGUCAAAUCAUCAUGCCCCUUAUGCCCUGGGCUACACACGUGCUACAAUGGCCAGGAACAAAGGGAAGCGAAGCGGUAACGUGGAGCAAAUCCCAAAAAACUGGUCCCAGUUCGGAUUGUGGGCUGCAACUCGCCCACAUGAAGUCGGAGUUGCUAGUAAUCGCGAAUCAGCAUGUCGCGGUGAAUACGUUCCCGGGCCUUGUACACACCGCCCGUCACACCAUGGGAGUCGGGGGCACCCGAAGCCGGUGACCUAACCUUAUGGGAGGGAGCCGUCGAAGGUGAACUCGAUGACUGGGGUGAAGUCGUAACAAGGUAACCGUA
rnacentral:rRNA from 1 species